GUGGGGAAUAUUGGACAAUGGGCGAAAGCCUGAUCCAGCCAUGCCGCGUGUGUGAAGAAGGUCUUCGGAUUGUAAAGCACUUUAAGUUGGGAGGAAGGGCAGUAAGUUAAUACCUUGCUGUUUUGACGUUACCGACAGAAUAAGCACCGGCUAACUUCGUGCCAGCAGCCGCGGUAAUACGAAGGGUGCAAGCGUUAAUCGGAAUUACUGGGCGUAAAGCGCGCGUAGGUGGUUUUGUAAGUUGGAGGUGAAAUCCCCGGGCUCAACCUGGGAACUGCCUCCAAAACUGCAUGACUAGAGUACGGGAGAGGGUAGUGGAAUUUCCUGUGUAGCGGUGAAAUGCGUAGAUAUAGGAAGGAACACCAGUGGCGAAGGCGACUACCUGGACUGAUACUGACACUGAGGUGCGAAAGCGUGGGGAGCAAACAGGAUUAGAAACCCUGGUAGUCC
rnacentral:rRNA from 1 species